GCAUCCGUAGCUCAGCUGGAUAGAGCUUUGCCCUCCGGAGGCAACGGUCAUUGGUUCGAAUCCAAUCGGGUGCACCA
rnacentral:tRNA from 1 species